rnacentral:rRNA from 1 species
GACGAACGCUGGCGGCGUGCCUAAUACAUGCAAGUCGAACGAGAGCGACCGGUGCUUGCACUGGUCAAUCUAGUGGCGAACGGGUGAGUAACACGUGGGUAACCUGCCCAUCAGAGGGGGAUAACAUCCGGAAACGGAUGCUAAAACCGCAUAGGUCUUCGAACCGCAUGGUUUGAAGAGGAAAAGAGGCGCAAGCUUCUGCUGAUGGAUGGACCCGCGGUGCAUUAGCUAGUUGGUGAGGUAACGGCUCACCAAGGCCGUGAUGCAUAGCCGACCUGAGAGGGUGAUCGGCCACAUUGGGACUGAGACACGGCCCAAACUCCUACGGGAGGCAGCAGUAGGGAAUCUUCCGCAAUGGACGCAAGUCUGACGGAGCAACGCCGCGUGAGUGAAGAAGGUGUUCGGAUCGUAAAACUCUGUUGUUAGAGAAGAACAAGUGCUAGAGUAACUGUUAGCGACUUGACGGUAGCUAACCAGAAAGCCACGGCUAACUACGUG